rnacentral:rRNA from 1 species
UACGGAGGGUGCAAGCGUUGUUCGGAAUCAUUGGGCGUAAAGCGCGUGUAGGCGGCCAAUUAAGUCUGAUGUGAAAGCCCGGGGCUCAACCCCGGAAGGGCAUUGGAUACUGGCUGGCUAGAGGACGAGAGAGGGAAGCGGAAUUCCUGGUGUAGGGGUGAAAUCCGUAGAUAUCAGGAGGAACAUCGGUGGCGAAGGCGGCUUCCUGGCUCGUUACUGACGCUGAGACGCGAAAGCGUGGGGAGCAAACAGG